UACGUAGGGGGCAAGCGUUGUCCGGAAUCAUUGGGCGUAAAGCGCGUGUAGGCGGUUACGUAAGUCUGCUGUGAAAGUCGGAGGCUCAACCUUCGAAAGCCGGUGGAUACUGCGUGACUAGAGUACGGAAGAGGAGAGUGGAAUUCCUGGUGUAGCGGUGAAGUGCGCAGAUAUCAGGAGGAACACCAACGGCGAAGGCAGCUCUCUGGGACGUUACUGACGCUGAGACGCGAAAGCGUGGGGAGCAAACAGG
rnacentral:rRNA from 1 species